CCAUCAUUAAGUUGGGCACUCUAAGUUGACUGCCGGUGACAAACCGGAGGAAGGUGGGGAUGACGUCAAAUCAUCAUGCCCCUUAUGAUUUGGGCUACACACGUGCUACAAUGGACAAUACAAAGGGCAGCGAAACCGCGAGGUCAAGCAAAUCCCAUAAAGUUGUUCUCAGUUCGGAUUGUAGUCUGCAACUCGACUAUAUGAAGCUGGAAUCGCUAGUAAUCGUAGAUCAGCAUGCUACGGUGAAUACGUUCCCGGGUCUUGUACACACCGCCCGUCACACCACGAGAGUUUGUAACACCCGAAGCCGGUGGAGUAACCAUUUGGAGCUAGCCGUCGAAGGUGGGACAAAUGAUUGGGGUGAAGUCGUAACAAGGUAGCCGUAUCGGAAGGUGCGGCUGGAUCACCUCCUUU
rnacentral:rRNA from 1 species